GACGAACGCUGGCGGCGUGCUUAAUACAUGCAAGUCGAGCGAGGUUACUGUUUUGGAUCCCUUCGGGGUGAAGAAGCUUUAACCUAGCGGCGGACGGGUGAGUAACGCGUGGGUAACCUACCCCAAAGUCCGGGAUAACAGCGGGAAACCGCUGCUAAUACCGGAUGCCUUUACCUUGGGGCAUCUUGAGGUAAAGAAAGGUAACGCUUUGGGAUGGGCCCGCGUCCCAUUAGCUAGUUGGUGAGGUAACGGCUCACCAAGGCGACGAUGGGUAGCCGGCCUGAGAGGGUGGACGGCCACACUGGGACUGAGACACGGCCCAGACUCCUACGGGAGGCAGCAGUAGGGAAUAUUGCGCAAUGGACGGAAGUCUGACGCAGCGACGCCGCGUGAGCGAUGAAGGUCUUCGGAUCGUAAAGCUCUGUCCUUGGGGAAGAAGGCGAAAGCUUGACGGUACCCAAGAAGAAAGCCCCGGCUAACUACGUGCCAGCAGCCGCGGUAAUACGUAGGGGGCGAGCGUUGUCCGGAAUUACUGGGCGUAAAGGGUGCGUAGGCGGCCCUUUAAGUCGGAUGUGAAAGCCCGCGGCUUAACCGCGGAAUGGCAUUCGAAACUGGAGGGCUUGAGUGUCGGAGAGGGUAGUGGAAUUCCCAGUGUAGCGGUGAAAUGCGUAGAUAUUGGGAGGAACACCAGUGGCGAAGGCGACUACCUGGACGAUAACUGACGCUGAGGCACGAAAGCUAGGGGAGCAAACAGGAUUAGAUACCCUGGUAGUCCUAGCCGUAAACGAUGGGUACUAGGUGUGGGUGGUUUCGAUACCAUCCGUGCCGUAGUUAACGCAUUAAGUACCCCGCCUGGGGAGUACGUGCGCAAGCAUGAAACUCAAAGGAAUUGACGGGGGCCCGCACAAGCGGUGGAGCAUGUGGUUUAAUUCGANGCACGCGAAGANCUUACCAGGUCUUGACAUCACCUAGCAGCCAUGGAACAUGGCCUCUUCNGGANUGGUGACAGUGGUGCAUGGUGUCUCACUC
rnacentral:rRNA from 1 species